rnacentral:rRNA from 1 species
GAUGAACGCUGGCGGCGUGCCUAACACAUGCAAGUCGAGCGAUUUACUUCGGUAAAGAGCGGCGGACGGGUGAGUAACGCGUGGGUAACCUGCCCUAUACACACGGAUAACAUACCGAAAGGUAUGCUAAUACGAGAUAACAUAAGUAAUUCGCAUGGAUUUCUUAUCAAAGCUUUUGCGGUAUAGGAUGGACCCGCGUCUGAUUAGCUAGUUGGUAAGGUAACGGCUUACCAAGGCGACGAUCAGUAGCCGACCUGAGAGGGUGAUCGGCCACAUUGGAACUGAGACACGGUCCAAACUCCUACGGGAGGCAGCAGUGGGGAAUAUUGCACAAUGGGCGAAAGCCUGAUGCAGCAACGCCGCGUGAGCGAUGAAGGCCUUCGGGUCGUAAAGCUCUGUCCUCAAGGAAGAUAAUGACGGUACUUGAGGAGGAAGCCCCGGCUAACUACGUGCCAGCAGCCGCGGUAAUACGUAGGGGGCUAGCGUUAUCCGGAAUUACUGGGCGUAAAGGGUGCGUAGGUGGUUUCUUAAGUCAGAGGUGAAAGGCUACGGCUCAACCGUAGUAAGCCUUUGAAACUGAGAAACUUGAGUGCAGGAGAGGAGGGUAGAAUUCCUAGUGUAGCGGUGAAAUGCGUAGAUAUUAGGAGGAAUACCAGUUGCGAAGGCGGCUCUCUGGACUGUAACUGACACUGAGGCACGAAAGCGUGGGGAGCAAACAGGAUUAGAUACCCUGGUAGUCCACGCCGUAAACGAUGAGUACUAGCUGUCGGAGGUUACCCCCUUCGGUGGCGCAGCUAACGCAUUAAGUACUCCGCCUGGGAAGUACGCUCGCAAGAGUGAAACUCAAAGGAAUUGACGGGGACCCGCACAAGUAGCGGAGCAUGUGGUUUAAUUCGAAGCAACGCGAAGAACCUUACCUAAGCUUGACAUCCUUUUGACCUCUCCCUAAUCGGAGAUUUCCCUUCGGGGACAGAAGUGACAGGUGGUGCAUGGUUGUCGUCAGCUCGUGUCGUGAGAUGUUGGGUUAAGUCCCGCAACGAGCGCAACCCUUGCCUUUAGUUGCCAGCAUUAAGUUGGGCACUCUAGAGGGACUGCCAGGGAUAACCUGGAGGAAGGUGGGGAUGACGUCAAAUCAUCAUGCCCCUUAUGCUUAGGGCUACACACGUGCUACAAUGGGUGGUACAGAGGGCAGCCAAGUCGUGAGGCGGAGCUAAUCCCUUAAAGCCAUUCUCAGUUCGGAUUGUAGGCUGAAACUCGCCUACAUGAAGCUGGAGUUACUAGUAAUCGCAGAUCAGAAUGCUGCGGUGAAUGCGUUCCCGGGUCUUGUACACACCGCCCGUCACACCAUGGGAGUUGGGGGCGCCCGAAGCCGGUUAGCUAACCUUUUGGAAGCGACCGUCGAAGGUGAAACCAAUAACUGGGGUGAAGUCGUAACAAGGUAGCCGUAUCGGAAGGUGCGGCUGGAUCACCUCCUUUCUAAGGAGAAUUACCUACUGUUUAAUUUUGAGGGUUUAUUCCUCAAGUUAGUACUUUGAGCAACGGGAUAUUCUCGGAGAGAAUAGACGUUGGCAAUGUACGUUAGUACUUUGAAAACUGCAUAACAUUUAGUGAUAUGACAUCAUUUAAUUAUAUAUAGACAGAUAAGUCUUUAAAAUCAACUUUUAAUAACUGGUCAAGUUAUUAAGGGUGCAGGGCGGAUGCCUUGGCACUAGGAGCCGAUGAAGGACGUGAUAAGCUGCGAUAAGCUUCGGGGAGUUGCACGUAAACUUUGAUCCGAAGAUUUCCGAAUGAGGAAACUCACUUAGAGUAAUGUCUAAGUAUCGUUAAGUGAAUACAUAGCUUAGCGAGGGGAACCCGGGGAACUGAAACAUCUAAGUACCUGGAGGAAGAGAAAGAAAAAUCGAUUCCGUAAGUAGCGGCGAGCGAACGCGGAACAGGCCAAACCAAUGAAGCUUGCUUUGUUGGGGUUGCGGACACAUCAUCAAGUAAGAGGUCAUCGUAAAUGAAGAGAGUUGGAAAGCUCCGCUAUAAAGGGUAAUAGCCCCGUAGUUGAAACGAUAAUUCUUCAGAUGUGAUCCAGAGUACCACGGGACACGUGAAACCCUGUGGGAAGCAGGAGGGACCAUCCUCCAAGCCUAAAUACUACCUAGUGACCGAUAGCGCAU